GACGUAGGGCGCGAGCGUUGUCCGGAUUUAUUGGGCGUAAAGAGCUCGUAGGCGGCUUGUUGCGUCGGCUGUGAAAACCCGCGGCUUAACCGCGGGCCUGCAGUCGAUACGGGCGGACUGGAGUUCGGCAGGGGAGACUGGAAUUCCUGGUGUAGCGGUGAAGUGCGCAGAUAUCAGGAGGAACACCGGUGGUGUAGACGGCUUUCUGGACCGUAACUGACGCUGAGACACGAAAGCGUGGGUAGCAAACAGG
rnacentral:rRNA from 1 species